rnacentral:tmRNA from 1 species
GGGAAUGUACUGGUUUCGACGGGGUUUUGAAGUAUAGAUAAGCGGGUCGUGCAAUGUUGUAAAUCACGCUAAACUUAACAACAUCUAAAUAUAAACGCAGAUAAUAAUCUUGCACUAGCUGCUUAAUGCGGCUCGUUCCUCCUAGUCCUCCUGCCGAUUAGGACUGAACGUCAACUAUGCAGGGCACUGUGAUUGGGAUUUCUGGACCAUGACUCAGUACAACUCAGAAUAUAUUUUAGUAAAAGCAGUUGGGAGCUUUUUCUAAAACGAAUAAAUCUAUUCCAACUACACUCGUAGAAAGUUUAUAUGGAUAGGUUUCGGACAGGGGUUCGACUCCCCUCAUUUCCACCA